GAUGAACGCUGGCGGCGUGCCUAAUACAUGCAAGUCGAGCGAACAGACGAGGAGCUUACUCCUCUGACGUUAGCGGCGGACGGGUGAGUAACACGUGGAUAACCUACCUAUAAGACUGGGAUAACUUCGGGAAACCGGAGCUAAUACCGGAUAAUAUAUUGAACCGCAUGGUUCAAUAGUGAAAGACGGUUUUGCUGUCACUUAUAGAUGGAUCCGCGCCGCAUUAGCUAGUUGGUAAGGUAACGGAUUACCAAGGCAACGAUGCGUAGCCGACCUGAGAGGGUGAUCGGCCACACUGGAACUGAGACACGGUCCAGACUCCUACGGGAGGCAGCAGUAGGGAAUCUUCCGCAAUGGGCGAGAGCUUGACGGAGCAACGCCGCGUGAGUGAUGAAGGUCUUCGGAUCGUAAAACUCUGUUAUUAGGGAAGAACAAAUGUGUAAGUAACUAUGCACGUCUUGACGGUACCUAAUCAGAAAGCCACGGCUAACUACGUG
rnacentral:rRNA from 1 species